UUUAUGAAAUUCCUAGCCAAAUGGAUGGACCUGGAGGGCAUCAUCCUGAGUGAGGUAACACAUUCACAAAGAAACUCACACAAUAUGUAUUCACUGAUAAGUGGAUAUUAGCCCCAAACCUAGGAUACCCAAGAUAUAAGAUAUAAUUUGCUAAACACAUGAAACUCAAGGAGAAUGAAGACUGAAGUGUGGACACUAUGCCCCUCCUUAGAUUUGGGAACAAAACACCCAUGGAAGGAGUUACAGAGACGGAGUUUGGAGCUGAGAUGAAAGGAUGGACCAUGUAGAGACUGCCAUAGCCAGGGAUCCACCCCAUAAUCAGCAUCCAAACGCUGACACCAUUGCAUACACUAGCAAGAUUUUAUUGAAAGGACGCAGAUGUAGCUGUCUCUUGUGAGACUAUGCCGGGGCCCAGCAAACACAGAAGUGGAUGCUCACAGUCAGCUAAUGGAUGGAUCAUAGGGCUCCCAAUGGAGGAGCUAGAGAAAGUAGCCAAGGAGCUAAAGGGAUCUGCAACCCUAUAGGUGGAACAACAUUAUGAGCUAACCAGUACCCCGGAGCUCUUGACUCUAGCUGCAUAUAUAUCAAAAGAUGGCCUAGUCGGCCAUCACUGGAAAGAGAGGCCCAUUGGACUUGCAAACUUUAUAUGCCCCAGUACAGGGGAAUACCAGGGCCAAAAAGGGGGAGUGGGUGGGCAGGGGAGUGGGGGUGGGUGGAUAUGGGGGACUUUUGGUAUAGCAUUGGAAAUGUAAAUGAGUUAAAUACCUAAUAAAAAAUGGAAAAAAAAAAAAAAAAAGAACUCCCUCUGUAGAUCAGGCUGGCCUUGAACUCAGAGAUCCACCUGCCUCUGCCUCCAGAGUGCUGGAUUUAAAGAUGUGUGCUACCACCACCCAGCUUAUGUUUAAUGUUCAGUUUUUGGUUUGGUUUGGUUGGCUUAGUAUUUCUGUUUUUGUUUUUUGAGUCUUAUUAAGUAGCCCUACCUGGCCUGCCUCUGCCUCCCAAGUGCUGGGAUUAAAGGUGUGCACCAGUACACCAGUAUAGCUGAAUCUUAUAUAUUGAAUCAUUAUGCUAGUACUACACUGUUUGGUUAACCGUAGCUCUGUAAAACAUUGUAAAGUCAGGAUAUAUGAGUUCCAACUUUGCUUUGCCUUUUUGAGUUGAUUUUUAUCUACUUGGGGACUUGUAGCUCUGUGUAAACUUUAGCAGGAGCUUUUCCAUUUAAGUCUAAUGACUUCAUGACUACAAGAUGUAUAUAUUUUAGGUCUUUUAAAUUUUCAGUUAGAUUUGCACUUUUCAUGUAAAGUUUUCUAUUAGUCCGUAAACAUACCUAAAUACAAUACUCUAAUGCUCUUAUUAAAUUGUCUUCUGAACUUAUUUACACAUGUAUUUCCACUCUCUAUAAUUAUCUCCCACCAGUGGUUCUCAGCCUUCCUGAUACAGGAGCCAGUUAAUACAGUUCCCCAUGCUGCGGUGAUUUCUGGCCUUAAAAUUAUAUCCAUUGUUACUCCAUAACUAAUCUGCAACCAUUAUAAAUUAGAAUUUAAACAUCUAAUAUGCAAGAUGUUCAAUAUGUGGUGCACAGGUUGAGAAUUGUUGAUUCUGCAAGUGAUUUUUGUUUUUUACUUGAUAGUUUUGUAUCCUCAAUUUUGCAUUGAUUUGUUGUCGCUUAUCAAUUUUUGUGGGUUUUAUUUAUAGCUUCUUAAAUACCUAGUUUAGGUACAUUUUUUCUCUUGCCUGGUGUGUGAACCUAGUGUGUACACUGGAGCAUUGAAUACACCUUUGAAAAUUUGGGGGAGUUUGAUAAAUACCCAUUAUGAGAACAGGAAGUUUUUUUUCAUGCCUAGUUUAGAGACUUUGAUUUUUGUGCUCACCGGCAUGUAUACGUGUUACCUGUAGAGGCCAAAGAAGGACAUUGGAUCCCCUGGAACUGGAGUUAUAGUUGUGAGCCACCAUGUGGUUGCUAGUAACUGAACCUGGGGUCGUCAGCAAGAACAGCCAAUUUUUACCACUGAGCCAUUUCUAGCUCCUGAAGUUUGGUUUUUAAUCAUUGAGCCAAGUCAUACUUUGUCAGCUAGCUUUUUGUAUUACUUGAGGCAGUUGUGGUAUUUUCUAUCAUUUUGUUAAUGUGUACUACAUUGGAUUCCUUUACAUAUGUUUAAAUAAUUCUAAUCUUAGUAAAAUGCCAUGUAGGACAUGUAAUUGUUUCAUGUUGUGAAUUUGCUUAUUAGUAUUGGAGAUUUUUACAUAAGUGUUCGUAAGAAAUAUUUGUCUGUGGUAUUCUAUUUAAAGCAUUUUAUGACAUUUGGGGGAUGUGUGUGGGUCCUUGCCAAGGUGCUUGUGUGGCUCUUAGAUGACAACUUGUAGGAGUCAGUUUUCUUCUUCCACUCCUGUUGGUCAGAGAUGUUGAACUCCAGCAGCUUUGCACCUUUGUCUGCUAAGCGCCUGUAGUAUGCUUACUGUAUUUUAAUUACCAGGUAAUACUAGCUUCAUAGUACAGCUACUCUUUACUCUUCUAGCAUUUGGAAGACAGAAGGUUUGGCCUUUAAAUAUUAAUAAGUAUUAAUAGGAUUCAUUGCAAAGCUGUCUGAUUAUUGACUUUUGGUGAAGGCUUUUGGUUAGUGAUUCAAUUUACUUUUUUCUUUUUGACUGUUUUUUACACAGACUCCGCAGAGCUAACCUGGAACUCUCUUUCUUAGCCUAGCCUAAUCUCAAACUUGAGGCUGUUUAGCCUCGGCCUCCCUCCUGAGUCGUGAGGCUUCAUAAAUAGUUACGUUCUUUGCUUCAACUUCUUGUGAAUAUUUAUAUUAAAAAGUUGUAAGCAACUUUUAAAUUUAUAUGUGUGUGCACAGGAAUGUGCAUACAUCAUUUUGCAUGUGGAUAGCUUGUAGAAGUCAAUUCUCUUCAGCUAUAGAUUCUGGAAUUAUAUGUAAAUAUAUAUUUUGGUGCCAAGAGCCUUUGCAUUUUCUAUCAAAUUAAUUUUUCAUUUAUUAUCUCAUAUCUUCACCCUCUGUUUAAUUUGCUCCUGUUUGUUUUUGUGAAUGUGUAUGUAUGUGAUAUAUGCGUUCUUGUGUGUGCGAAACAGAAGUCAGUGAUGGGUGUUUUCCUUUAUUCAUCUCUGUCUCGCUGCACCUGGAGCUCACCAGUUCAGCAAUACUGGCUGGCCAGCAAGCUUCAGAGCGCCUCCUGACUCUGCCUGUAUGACCCUGGGAUUGUGUGCAUUCUCAGACAGAGCUGCCCAUGCCUGGCCACUAUGCAGGUUACUGACUGGAUCGUCUCUCCACCUCACCCCCAUUGUUUUGGUUCCUAUAUAAAGCUAUCUCAUUGAUUUGCAAUCUUGUAUAGUAUAAGUGGUACGUGUGUGGAGGUCAGAGGAUGACUUGCAAAAAUCAGUUUUCUCCACCAAUUGGAUCCUGGGAAUCUAUAGCUCAGGUUGUCAGUCUUGGCAGGCUAACACCUUUGUCUUCUGAGCCCUCCUGCUUGCCUUGAUUCCGAAGUUCACCUUGUUUUAAUGGAAGGAAAUUAUAUUUGAUUUCAUUCUUUGU
rnacentral:lncRNA from 1 species